AUUGAACGCUGGCGGCAGGCCUAACACUUGCAAGUCGAACGAGUGGCGGACGGGUGAGUAAUGUCUGGGAAACUGCCUGAUGGAGGGGGAUAACUACUGGAAACGGUCGCUAAUACCGCAUACUAUCAGUUGUGCCCAGAUGGGAUUUGCUUGUUGGUGGGGUAACGGCGCACCAAGGCGGCGAUCCCUAGCUGGUCUGAGAGGAUGACCAGCCACGCUGAAACUGAGACACGGUCCAGAUGCCGACGGAAGGAAGCAGUGGGGAAUAUUGCACAGUAGGAGCAAGCCUGAUGCAGCCAUGCCGAGUGUAUGAAGAAGGCCUUCGGGUUGUAAAGUACGUUCAGCGGGGAGGCGUUACCCGCAGAAGAAGCACCGGCUAACUCCGUGCCAGCAGCCGCGAUAAUUC
rnacentral:rRNA from 1 species